GGAGAGAUGGUCGAGUGGUUGAUGGCUCCGGUCUUGAAAACCGGCGUAGUUUCUAAGACUACCGAGGGUUCGAAUCCCUCUCUCUCCU
rnacentral:tRNA from 1 species